AUGAUUUUAGUGCUUGCACUAAAUGAAACUAGAUACAAGCGAGCGGCGGACGGGUGAGUAACACGUGGGUAACCUGCCCAAGAGACUGGGAUAACACCUGGAAACAGAUGCUAAUACCGGAUAACAACACUAGACGCAUGUCUAGAGUUUGAAAGAUGGUUCUGCUAUCACUCUUGGAUGGACCUGCGGUGCAUUAGCUAGUUGGUAAGGUAACGGCUUACCAAGGCAAUGAUGCAUAGCCGAGUUGAGAGACUGAUCGGCCACAUUGGGACUGAGACACGGCCCAAACUCCUACGGGAGGCAGCAGUAGGGAAUCUUCCACAAUGGACGAAAGUCUGAUGGAGCAACGCCGCGUGAGUGAAGAAGGGUUUCGGCUCGUAAAGCUCUGUUGGUAGUGAAGAAAGAUAGAGGUAGUAACUGGCCUUUAUUUGACGGUAAUUACUUAGAAAGUCACGGCUAACUACGUGCCAGCAGCCGCGGUAAUACGUAGGUGGCAAGCGUUGUCCGGAUUUAUUGGGCGUAAAGCGAGUGCAGGCGGUUCAAUAAGUCUGAUGUGAAAGCCUUCGGCUCAACCGGAGAAUUGCAUCAGAAACUGUUGAACUUGAGUGCAGAAGAGGAGAGUGGAACUCCAUGUGUAG
rnacentral:rRNA from 1 species